CAAUUCUUUCAUUCCAGCCAUGUACUCCUAAUCUGUAAAUUCUGUUUCCUCUGCCAGAGUGACAUUCUCAUUCUCCUGUGUCUGCUGAAAUCCCAAGGAGACCACCUGGAAAUAAAGAAAGAAGAAACCAAAGAAGGAAGGCCACUCCGAAGAUGACAAGAUCCCAGAAUUCUCGAGCCCAAAGGAGACAUCGUAGGAAUCACUUUGCCCAGUCGAGAUGCCAUGUCUUAGGACAGUGGGUUCUGAAGAUGGAGACUGACUUCAAGGACUAACAUCAUUCCUGUUCCCUCUCAUUGAAGGGUGCACACAUAUUCUGCCC